UUUUUUUUUUCUUUUCAUAAGCUUCUCCGUCAAUAUUUUAUUAAAUUAAAUACAAAAAACUUCAUAUACCCCACCUAGGUUUAUCGAAUAUUCACUUUAAUACCCUUUAGUUUUAACUUUGUCACUGAUUUAAGAAAAAAAUUAGUGAAAUUGAUAAUAAAAUAGAGAAAAAUAAAAUCACAUGGCACUAAAUUGAUACACUAUAAAUCACAGGGUGCUAAAGUGAGAAAGUGCAAAACCACAGGGAUGGUAUUAGAAGUUUUUCCUUUUAUUUAUUUGAAGGCCAUGAGAGUCAUUUUUUUUUCCACUUCUUCUUUGUAGAUCUGUUUGGGUGUAAGUAU
rnacentral:lncRNA from 1 species